UACGGGGGGGGGCAAGCGUUGUUCGGAAUUACUGGGCGUAAAGGGCUCGUAGGCGGCCAACUAAGUCGGAUGUGAAAUCCCCAGGCUUAACCUGGGAACUGCAUCCGAUACUGGAUGGCUUGAAUCCGGGAGAGGGAUGCAGAAUUCCAGGUGUAGCGGUGAAAUGCGUAGAUAUCUGGAGGAACACCGGUGGCGAAGGCGGCAUCCUGGACCGACAUUGACGCUGAGGCGCGAAAGCCAGGGGAGCAAACGGG
rnacentral:rRNA from 1 species